CUUUCCAUUAAUAUCAUUGACCCCUCAAAAUGUAUCUCCCAGAACUUGUCUGAUGAGCAGGGCCUGUGUCACCUGUCGGCCCUGAUGUAAAAAGGGAAAAUGGAUUCUAUGUUGGAAUGGAGAGACUUACACUGUAGGGAACUACCACAAUGUGGAGAGGGUGUUCACAUAGGCUAAAUGGCAGAUGCCCAUCACAGUUGCAGAACUGAAAUUUGAGCCCAGAUCUAGCCAACUCCAGGGUCCCUGCUCUAUCCAAUGCUGCUUUCUAAGUCCUUUGUCCCAGAGGACCCAGGGCUCACCAGGGUUAGGAUCUCCAGAUAGAUGGUACCUCACAUAUGGUAUUCAGGAUUCCAAAAGGGAUAGCUGCUUCUAGACCCAUGCUCACUAUCUAGAAGGGCAUGUCACACCCAAAUGCUGGGCACUAUUUCUUCCUGAAGAACUGAAAUGGAUUCUUAAGGUGGAAACCUGAAGAUGCUCUUGCCCACUCUCUCUGAAGCAUAGAGCUGACCCCAAAACUCAGUAACUUGUUUUCUCUGCUCUUGAGCUUCUCAUUUUCUUUUAAACUGAGAGCUUCUUGAAGGAAAAGCUUGUAUUUUCUAUAUUUCCAGCUCCUAGGACUGGGCCAGGUACAUUAAAGUGCUCAAAUAAAUUUCUUCUAAGUGGAGGAGAAGAGGGAUGUAUAGGUGGUGGAAGGGUUCCCAUGAUUCUAAGUGGCUUCCCUGGGAGGGACAUGUUUAGUCAGAUUUAGGAGAUAGUUUAUGGAAAGAUAGGGAGCAAAAUAUAACUCAGGAUACCAUGUCUCACUCCAAAAUCAGCCAUAAGCCUCCCACUGCCAUAUCUACUUAACACUCCACAGUCAGCCUCAGACCCUCUCCCCACCAUUUCACACUUCAUCAUAAACACAAAUCCUCCUCCAUACAACCAAUUCACAUUCCACAUCAAGCAAAAAUUGUCCCUCCUUACAAUCACUACAUAUUCUGCAGUAAAUCCAAUCGUCUGACCCAACAGGCAUUUUACAGUCCACAGCAAACUACAAUCUUACCCUUCUCAGACCUCCUCACCUCCCGUGGGAAGCCCUAACCUCCUCCCCCACAGUAAUUCACCUUUCCACAGGAGGCCCAACGCUUCACACCCCAUAGUAAAAUUCUCACGCCUACAGCCACUUCACACUUGCUAGCAAUCCUCCAUGAUCCCUGCCCACACCACCUCAUGUUCCAAGAAGAACCCGGUCCUCCCUCCAACAACUGCUUCACACAUCACACUAAACCUGAAUCCUCCCUCACCAGAAACCCUGACCUUCUAAAGUAAACCCUACCCUCCCACCACAAAGCCCCUUACUGCUCUACAGCAAUCUCCAAUCCCCCACCCAAUAACCAUGUCAAGCUCCACAGGAAAGGCCUCCCACCUCCACUGCACUUCACACUCCAUGGAAGGUAUCAGUUCUUCCCCCACAACCACCUGCUUCACGCCCAUGGAAAGCUUCAGUCGUCUCUCCACAAAACCAGGUUAUAUUUGAAAUCAAGUACUACUCAUCCCUCUCAUCAACCACUUCACACGCCACAAUACACCCCAAUUCACCAAGCCUCAGAUGCCUUACACUCCACAGGACAGCUGCAGCUCUUUUACCUUCGCGUUAAUCACCAAUCUUUCUACUCUACACAUGCUGCAGACGCCACAGGAAUCCUCAAACCUCCUCUCCCACACGGCUUCAUGCCCCACAAUAAACUGCAGUCCCCCUAUCCUCACACCCGCUUCUCACUCCACAGGACCCCCAUCCUCAAGCCCACUUCACACUCCCCAGUCAUUUUCAAUCCUUCCUCCCCAAAAUGCUUGACUCCACAGUGAACGCUCUCCCCUCUCCCAGCCCUUCUGCAGUUCAUGUGAAUCCCCAAACCUUCCUCUCUACAAACAGUUCACAUUCCCAGGUAAACCCCAGGGUAAAUUCUCAUUCUGUAAGCUAACAUCCACUUUUAACCCCUUAGUUAUUUGCAGUUCUUCCAUCCCUAAAGCCACUCCACAAUAAACCCCUAUCCAUGCUCCCUAAAUGACUACACUCCACAGCAAAUCCUAAUCCUCUCGUGCCCACAGCCCAAUCACAUGCCAGAGUAACACCGAUCCUCAAAUACGACACAUCCUUCACACACCGUGAUAAACUCCAAUCCUCCGACCAACAGCCACUUCUUACUCCUUCGUAAUCCCUAGUAAUAUCUCCUACAACCACUUCACACAGUGAUUCCAAUGCUCCCUCCCUAUAUACAUCUCAUUCCACACUAAAUCCUUGUUCUCUCUCCACAUAACCACUUCACAUGCCACGAGAAGCCCCAUUCCUUCAAUUUCCCUAAAUUCUCCAAAGGAUUUUGAUAAUUGAACAAAUAUUUUAUAAUAACAUCGUGGAGAGAUGUUAAUAAAAUUUAAGUCUACCAUCCCAAGGGCCUGUUCUAAGGAUUUACAGUGAAAGAAGUGUCACCUUUUCUGCAUAAGGAUAUACUUUGCCACGCUAUUCAUACUGCUGAAAACUGGAUGAAUGUAAGUAUGCACUUAAAAAUAAUGUCUAAAUAAUGUGUUAUAGCUGUAGCAAAUGUAGUGUGUAAACAUGGACUCUUUUCAUACUAUAUUCAGAGAAUAAAACAAUAAAUUUAGAAAUGGUAACUACACUGAUUAAAGCUCAAAUGUCAUGUGUGUUUGUGGUCACAGGGAGAAAGGACAUAGGCAGAUGGAAGCAGUAUUUUUAGGAGGUGUUGAAAUUAUGAAUGAGUUAUACAUGUAUAUAUUUGUAUAUAGUGCCUUGGCACUGCUUGUGUAAUAUGAAAUAGACUUUUCUGAGAAAAGCCAGUGGACUCCUUCAGUCCUCCUUUAUUUAGAAUCCAUUCCCUCACUGAGAACUUGGGAGUACCAGGUACAUUGCAUAAUAUGCAUCAUCUUCCUGGAUCUUCCCAGCAACCCUGGAAGAAAACUGAUACAAGGAAUUAAGGACUCACGAAAACGGUGAUCAUUUAUUUUUGGAUCAGAUUCUUUCCAAACAUCGGAUCCUUGGACAAAAGCAACAAAAGAGACAUUCCUUGUACUAAAAAGGCUGGAUACCAGUACUUCCAUCAGACUCCCUAUUUUAAUAGCAAGCCUGGUGAGGGAGUUCCUUCUGAAGGCUCACACUGGCUUAACUAACAUUGACUACUGUGUUAGGAUUAGUCAUUGCUGACUGUGCCAGCCUGCAGCCUCAUAAUCAGAGCCUUGUCACCAAGCAUGGCUGCCUCAGUGACUGGAAUGGAAAUGAAAAUAAAGCAAGUGUUAUUUUCCUCAUCCUGAAGCAACAGAGAACUGCAUCAGGCUUACCAACAUGAACGUGGGUAAGAAGGAGUUUUGAAGUCCAGCAAAGAUUUUAUAGCUAGUGAGGCUGGCUGGAAGCAGGGUCGAUCUGGUCUGAUGUGUUGCAAGAUGUGAACUUAUUAAGGCAUCACAGAGGCAACUCCCAGCGGGGGUGGAGGAGAGCAGCAGGGAUGGAAAGGAAGAAGACUCUCAAGAUAGGAUGCUCCAAAGGAUGAUUGGAAGAGAAGGGUGAUGUCUGGAAGCGAUAAGCCUCAGAUGUUUGUUUGCACCUUACUGGAAAGCCAUGUAAAUUAAUGGAAACUUCCUGGCAAAAUAGCUUGACUUGUAGCAACUUCACAACCAUAACAAUCCAGAGGUGAGGUUUGCCCGCACCCUAUUCAUUUCAAUCCCGAAGGCAAUUUUCCCCUUGGCCAGAGAGAAGCUCAAGAACAAAAAACCAAACACCGCAUGUUCUCACUCAUAGGUGGGAAUUGAACAAUGAGAAC
rnacentral:lncRNA from 10 species